rnacentral:lncRNA from 1 species
GGCACCAAGCUCUUUCCGUUCCUGCUUGCCAUUGUCUUCUGAGUCUUUAAUAGCAGCAAAGGAGGUGCCAUCAGUUCAGCCUGUUGUCAUUUAACUCAGGGAUGCAUGCUUGUUGCAUAUGGAGAUGCCUCAUUGGACGUUCUUUGAAGAGGUCAAUUUUUCAACUCCGCUGAGUCUCCAGUCAGGAGGCUUAUGGUGGAGUGGGCUUCGGGGGCAGAAUUUCUCCACUCUUAGUCAUCUGCAAUGGUCUCAGCUCCAGUGCUCCAGCAACUGGAACUCUUCCUAACAUCACUUAGGCCUUUGGGGCAGAUUUUGGCCACAUUUUGUAGAUGAAUAUAAUCUCAGAUGCUGAAAUGAGAUGACAGGUUUGGUUGGUAAAAAUAAUCACUGAGUGAAUCUGGUGAUAUUUUGUUCCUAGAAUACACUUGCCUCACUGAACAAUAAAUUAUGAAACCAACGCCUGUUUCAUGUGUUUAGCCAUUUAACCUCUUUGAACUAUUUAUUUAUUUAUUUAUUUAGAGACAGAGUUUCAUUCUUGUCGCCCAGGCUGGAGUGCAGUGGCACAAUCUCAGCUCACUGCAACCUCCACCUCCCGGGUUCAAGCGAUUUUCCUGCUUUAGCUUCCUGAGUGUCUGGGAUUACAGGUGCCCGCCACCACACCUGGCUAAUUUUUUUGUAUUUUCAGUAUAAACGGGGUUUCACCAUGUUGGCCAGGCUGGUCUCGAACUCCUGAUAACUACCAUAAUUAUUUAAUAUAAGGAAACAGAAGCCCUGAAAAUUUAAGUCACAUAUUCAAUAUCCUACAGGAAAUAAAUGGUAAAAUCAGAAUUCAAAUAUUGGUCUUUCUGGAUUCUUGAGACUGAGCUCUUACAUAACGUGCUAUACUUUGAGCCUGUGAUUUUUACCUUUCAUCUCUCAGAAAAUUCCAUUGAAAUGAUGAACGAAAGGAGAAAAAUAUUUCCCUCAUGACAGAGGAAGCUACCAUGAGCCAGAAAGUUUGGGAAUUUACAUAAUAUAAAGGAGAUGAUUACUGAUAGUUGCAGUCAAUUCAGUAUAGACAGUGGAGAAAUCCAAAAAGAAGUGGGAAAGUAAUGCAGGAAGAGCAGAAGCAGAGG